GAAUGCUGAAUAUAUACAUUUGAAUUUAGCCUUUUUAAGUUGUUAUUUUAAUGAUAGAAACUUGUGAUGUUAUAAUAAAACAAUUUAAUAAAAAAUGGUUUGUUAGGUGUGUUCCUAUGUACUAAGAUAAUGAGCCUCCAACAGCACAGCGUUGCUUGUCCACAAAAUCUUUAUCCUCUUAUUUUAAAGCCAGACCACCCAAUCGCCUUUUUCUUUUUUAAUUUUUAUCCUAUCUUAACAUGAAUAUCUUAGCACUGGAAAUUAAGGAAGAACUGGAUUCAAGAAAUAUGGCAAGAAACUACCUUUUUAUUCAUUAGUUCUCAGCCGUUCCAUUGGAAAUCCAAAACAAAACAAAGAGAAAGACCCCAAGCCAAAUACCUCAAUUAAAAAAGAAAAAGAAAAAGGGGGGGUUUUGAGGGGCUUAAUUUAAGUACAACUUUGAAACAAAUGGAAUUCCUAGGAGGGAAGUAAACAACUUAGUAGCCUUUAGGCUUGUAGGCAAUGAAACUAAUGCACUGCACUUGACGAACGUUGUCGAACCCAAUGAUUCUAAUGAAUGCAUUGGGGUAUUCCUUCUUGCAAUUCUCAAGCUCCUCCAACACCUGAGCCGAGUCAGUGCACCCAAACAUGGGCAGUUUCCACAUGGUCCAGUAGCGUCCAUCGUAGUACGUGGGUAAGCUCGAGUACUUACGGUGCACGAAUCCCUCCUGCACAUACAUAUAAAACACAUUUAAUCAAAUCAAAUAUCCCACUAAAAAAAUAAAGUGUUGGAAAGGAAUAAUUUAGAGCUCGAAAACACCUCUAAUUCGAAUUCCAAGCAAGGAAUCCAUUUAGAGCGAAGAAGGUAAUCUACUUCCUUAGCCAACUGUACGGGUGUAAGAUCGGGGAGGUAUGAGAGUGUCUCGAACUUCUUCUUCCCAAGAGGAGGCCACACCUAUACUCAAAAGCCAAGAUAUAUAUUUGAUUCAAUUUAUGUAAUUUGUUGUGUUCAAACAAUUGGGGUAAUUUAAGUUGUAUUUAUGCAUCACCAAGUACCUGCAUGCAUUGCACUCUCCCACCAUUGCUUGCAAGAGAAGUGAUGUCGUUGUUGGCCUUCCUAGUGACUGGGAAAGCAGAGGCAGACUUGAGGCCGGUGAAGGGGGCCACCAUGUUGGCCUGUGCCGGGGAGGAGCAGUUCACGGUGGCAAUGGUUGCCGAUGAGAUCAUGGAGGAGGCCAUUGCUAUUACUGCUUACUAGUACUAUAUGCUACAGUUAUACAAAAGAGUCUCACUGAUCCCUUAAUA
rnacentral:lncRNA from 1 species